CGGGAGCUAACACAGGUGCUGCAUGGCUGUCGUCAGCUCGUGUCGUGAGAUGUUCGGUUAAGUCCGCUAACGAGCGCAACCUUCGCCGUGUGUUAUAAGUGUCACGCGGGACCGCCGGGCUUAAGCCGGAGGAAGUGGGGAUGACGUCAAGUCAGCAUGGCCUUUAUGUCCUGGGCUACACACACGCUACAAUGGCCAGUACAAUUGGUAGCGAAGUCGCGAGGCGGAGCCAAUCCGUAAAAGCUGGCCUCAGUUCAGAUUGCAGGCUGCAACCCGCCUGCAUGAAGAUGGAGUUGCUAGUAACCGCAGGUCAGCAAUACUGCGGUGAAUACGUUCCCGGGCCUU
rnacentral:rRNA from 1 species